AUUGAACGCUGGCGGCAGGCCUAACACAUGCAAGUCGAACGGUGACAGAAAGCAGCUUGCUGCUUUGCUGACGAGUGGCGGACGGGUGAGUAAUGUCUGGGAAACUGCCUGAUGGAGGGGGAUAACUACUGGAAACGGUAGCUAAUACCGCAUAACGUCGCAAGACCAAAGCGGGGGACCUUCGGGCCUCUUGCCCUCGGAUGUGCCCAGAUGGGAUUAGCUAGUAGGUGGGGUAACGGCUCACCUAGGCGGCGAUCCCUAGCUGGUCUGAGAGGAUGACCAGCCACACUGGAACUGAGACACGGUCCAGACUCCUACGGGAGGCAGCAGUGGGGAAUAUUGCACAAUGGGCGCAAGCCUGAUGCAGCCAUGCCGCGUGUAUGAAGAAGGCCUUCGGGUUGUAAAGUACUUUCAGCGAGGAGGAAGGUGUUGUGGUUAAUAACCACAGCAAUUGACGUUACUCGCAGAAGAAGCACCGGCUAACUCCGUGCCAGCCGCCGCCGUAA
rnacentral:rRNA from 1 species